UACGUAGGGGGCAAGCGUUGUCCGGAAUUAUUGGGCGUAAAGAGCUCGUAGGCGGCCUGUCGCGUCGGAUGUGAAAGCCCGGGGCUUAACCCCGGGUCUGCAUUCGAUACGGGCAGGCUAGAGUUCGGUAGGGGAGAUCGGAAUUCCUGGUGUAGCGGUGAAAUGCGCAGAUAUCAGGAGGAACACCGGUGGCGAAGGCGGAUCUCUGGGCCGAUACUGACGCUGAGGAGCGAAAGCGUGGGGAGCGAACAGG
rnacentral:rRNA from 1 species